GCAGACAAGCUCAGUGCUCAGGAACAUAAUGGCUGCAGCCCCCAGGCCCAUAUGCUCGCCAUCCUGCGAGGUGGAAGGCCGGCUCUGAUCACAUCCAGCUGCUGGGGAUACGACUGAUCAGAUCCUCAGCAAGAGGUUUUUUGGCAAGAUACUUUUGGAAGAACACCUCAACCAGACCACACUUCCAAAGAGCUGAGCCUUCAGUGCUGGCAGGCAGUAAUUUUGUAUUUUGGAGUAUUGUCUUACACAUCAUUCCCUGACACAGAGACACAGACCAUUAAUGGCAUGAUAGGAAUAAGUGUGUAUCUAUCUAUAUUUUAUUACUCAUGCCAUUUCAGGGGCUUGCAGAUAAUUAACUCUCCAUACUACUUCAUCUGUUUUUCCUCAAAAAUCUUCCCAUUCCACUUAAAACCCUUAUUUGUGGUCCAAGCAGCAGCACAUUUAAUCAGACUCAACAGGGCCCCAGAACAUCUUUGGAGAGGCCAUAAAAAUAUCUGAACACUCUAAACUCAAGCCAUGGGAAAUGGGAUUGCUCCCACCCAGCCUUGCACAGCCACAAUGAGCAGCACCCCCUCUCCUAUGGCUUCAGGGCUCCUGAUCCCCCAGGGACAGGGAUCCAGCCCCUCAAACCUGAGUGUUUCUCCAACACUGUGUCAGCCCAGACACACUGACUCAAGCCAACACCACCACUGAACCAAAAUAUUUUGAUUUGAUAAAACAAACUCCUCAACUGUUUAGAUUUUGGCUGAGCAGACUCACAAUGGAGGUUUCCUUUUCAACUUCCCUAUUUAUUCUCAUCUCUGUCAUCAUGCAGUUGGGGUGAGCACAGCCAAAGCCAUUCCCUUCUCCUUUCCUCUGGAUCCCCAGGGAAGGGCCAGGUCUCCAGGACUGUCUCCCACUGCAUGGAGCCAACCCAACUGUGGAUGACUUCAGGAAACCCUACACCAUGGCUAUAAUGCAAAAUUAUUAUUACAGCACUUUGCUUUCCAGUUGUACAAGCACUUCCCACAAACCCUGUGUGGAAGUGAAAGGCCUCAUUUCAAUUGUUAAUGGGUUUACAGGAGGCAGUGUCCUUCCCAAAACAUCCUUGUGUCCCUUUUUCAAUAAAAUAACCUCGUGCUUCUCACA